GACACAAUGACAACUUCCUUCUCUUGAUUUAACCUACUAGGGUAUUUCAGGGAUCCUGGAUCUAUUCUAGGAUUUGGCCCCAAUUUGGCCAGCACCUGAAUUUCAGAGAGGAAAGGAGGGGCUCUGUUGUAAGGCCUUGGUGGUUCUGCUGCGGGUCACCGCCAGAAGGAAUGAGAGGAAAGACAAGGAAGAGAAAGGAAGAAGAGGUGCAAAGUACGAAGAUUCUUAGCUGCUGAGACUGGAGGCUUGGCAAUGCUCAGAACCAAAAGAAUCAAAUAUGAAGCUAGCAGAAUUCAAAGCAAAUUGCACUGUUUCUGUUCACCAUCAAAAGGACAGGGGCUCACCUGGACAGAUUGUCCAGGCUGUUGCUCACUGGCUUCCAUUCCUCAGCUCUUCAGAGAUCUUGGGAUGCCUGUGGCAAGG